rnacentral:rRNA from 1 species
ACGCUCGACACCUACGGGAGGCAGCAGUGGGGAAUAUUGCACAAUGGGGGAAACCCUGAUGCAGCGACGCCGCGUGAGCGAAGAAGUAUUUCGGUAUGUAAAGCUCUAUCAGCAGGGAAGAUCAUGACGGUACCUGACUAAGAAGCUCCGGCUAAAUACGUGCCAGAAGCCGCGGUAAUCUGAGCGGGCUGGCAAGGC